rnacentral:rRNA from 1 species
CGUUCCCGGGCCUUGUACACACCGCCCGUCACACCAUGGGAGUGGGUUUUACCAGAAGGCACUCGUUUAACCGCAAGGGGAACGGUGACCACGGUAGGAUUCAUGACUGGGGUG